rnacentral:rRNA from 1 species
UACAGAGGUCUCGAGCGUUGUUCGGAUUCAUUGGGCGUAAAGGGUGCGUAGGUGGCGCUGUAAGUCGGGUGUGAAAUCCUGGGGCUUAACCCGGAACUGCAUUCGAUACUGCAGUGCUUGAGGACUGGAGAGGAGACUGGAAUUCAUGGUGUAGCAGUGAAAUGCGUAGAGAUCAUGAGGAAGACCAGUGGCGAAGGCGGGUCUCUGGACAGUUCCUGACACUGAGGCACGAAGGCCAGGGGAGCAAACGGG